GAAGAAAUGUUUAGAUUUACAGGCAAUCAAAGCUAUAACACUUUUAAAACGUUCACCUCUUUCUUUUUUUUACUUUUUUUUCUCUUUAUUUUUUUCUGUUGGCAGGAAUGAGUGUAAUAAACAAUCACAUAGCUGGUCACAGUGAAGACUGGUACAUCUUGUCUGGAUAGCAAGUGACAAAAUGUUUCCAAGCCCUAAAGCUGAUUAUCCUCUUUGAUGCAAACAUCUGUAUAUGAUCUAUAAAGGUUCCCUCUCGAAAUAGAGGAGCGUGGCACUUCAAUGAGGAACCAGGUUGGAUCUGGCAACUUUGGCUCACAGUGACAAGGAUGAAGAUGGUAGCUUUUUACAUGAAUAUUUUCCCACUGGAAUGGGUCCUCAAUAGAGAAAGGAUGGUGCACUUUAUGGAGAUUCUACAAUCCACUGAACAACCACAAUCAGCUCAUUUCACAAGUUUAUGGCUUAAGACUAGACUUGGACAAGAAGAAAUGGCUGUGUCAUUAUAUACUUAACUUACAUCCAUUGAAUCCCUCACUAAAAACCCACAACAUGUGUAUGUUGGGCAAGAAGACAACAGAGAAGGGGAAGAGGAGCUUUUUCAAACUGCCCUUUCUAACAGAGAGAUGUUGUUAAAGGGAAUAUGUUGAUAUAGAAAUGGCUAGAGGCAGAAAAGCAGUUUAGAACCACUUCCUUCCUUAAGUCCCACAGCUCCAGCUUAAGCUCUAAUUCGUUGAGGCCAUGGUGCCAUUUGAGGGCACUGAAGCAAUAACUUGUCACAUAAUACCUCUCCAAGAGUGCCGAACUUAAAAGCAGUUCCCAAACAGUUUAGACAGAACACUUGGCUCAUUGCCUCACAUCCAAAAACUACAAAGGAGACUUGAAGCUGCCAUCACAUGAGGGGCAGUCUUGUUUCCACAACCUCAGCCAACUUUUAAUCACUCAUGGGUCAAUGAUUUGACUGCUGGAUUAGCAGACCCUACGUUUCUUCCCUUCCACCCUUUCCUGUCCACCUUUGAAAGUCAUUUCAUUGCUACCAAUCACUUUCAAAUCACAUCGGGCACAAAAAUUAAAUAUAAACUGACUGCCAAGAAGAAAUAUCCACAAAUCAGAAUUCAAAGACGGACUGCCUUGCAUACCAACAUGAAGGACACCAGGACCAAAGCAGGCCUUUGCUUCACCUCCUCUCCACCCCUUUCUGUGCCCUUGUUCCCAGCUCUCCAUUCUGGGAAUGUGCUUUGAAAUGGGGCCAAGGUGAGAGGGCAUGAGGCCUCCUUGCCACUAGGUCAGAGACUGAGAGGUUUUGAGGAGAAGUUUCCUCUAAUGAAAUGAAAGCUUCAGAAUACUCCAGAUGGAUAGAGUGCCAAAAGAAACUGUCUUUCUUUAGCUGCCUCGGUAGGAGGGACGCUACCAGUGUCAAGCACAGCAGGAACGGGGGAGCCAGGCCUUGGAAGGUGGCCAUUCAUGGUUUUGGGACUGGGUGCAGCUGUUUCACAUGGAAAGGGUCAGCUGCUCAGAGCAAUAAUUCUGCAGAGCUUGUAGACAAAUGAAUUCACAAUAUCCUUUACAUCUCUUGGGGUCUCCAGCCCCCUCCAAUCUCCAGGCUCUCUACCUCCCUUCAGUGGCUACUUAUUUUCAGGACUGAGAUGGAGGAUAAACGAGAGCCACACUUGAAGAAACUGCUCCAGACCAAGAAGACACAUUCUGGGAGCAAACUUUAUUCCCAGGUGGUCUUGAUGAGGGAGACUGAGGUGCGCUAUAGGAGUGCCGGUCACCGCACGUCGGAAAUGCCUGUUUCUUUUCUCCGACACAAGUCACGCAGCACUCUUGUGUUCAGCACUUUGCAAAGAGCAAAGCAGAUGUUGGCUGUUGAAGAAUGCAUGCGAGCCUGAAGCCAGCAACACUGCAAUCCACCAAAUGCCUGUGAUGGAAUCCAUAGCUCCUCUGCUCACAAGUUUCCUCACUGACGUCAUUUCAGGGGAAGCCAAAAAUAAAUAGCGGAAUAUGCAGGAAGAGCCCAGACAGGCUGAAGAGGUUGAGUUUUUCAAGCAAACAGCAACAGCGGAGGGACUGUUUCUCUACAAGGAAGGGGGCUCGGGGGAACACGAUCCACACAUGUGAAGCAAACCUUUGCACUUCACAGUAUUUCACCAGGAUACAUUUUCAAGUUAAACCCAGAUGAAUAAUGGUAAAGAAAAAAAAAAAAAGCAAGAAAUAAAGGCCUUCCCUAGCUUCGGUAACCACAGCUGGAGAGACUUUCAUUAAUCACGUAAUUGUGUAUCUGAAGUUUUGCUUGCUGGAAAGAAACCUCAGGCAGGUACCUGCAAUUACCCUGCAGGCGGCCUGCUGAGGGCUCUUUGUCUGCAGUGGGAGGAGGACAUGAGGAAGUGCCCAGCGAUCCUAUGCUGAGGAAUCCUUAUGUUCCUUGCACCUGCAUACACUUAUUGUGGCAAAGCUGCACAUCACAUUUAAAGUACUAAACCCAGGUUUCCCAUACACUAAUGGAAGACGUCAGAUUUGAAAGAACACAGCAAGUCUAAGCACAGAAAUAAAAUGCACAUGAAGAUUUCAGAUUCCG
rnacentral:lncRNA from 10 species